rnacentral:rRNA from 1 species
AACGAACGCUGGCGGCAUGCCUAACACAUGCAAGUCGAACGAGACCUUCGGGUCUAGUGGCGCACGGGUGCGUAACGCGUGGGAAUCUGCCCUUGGGUUCGGAAUAACAGUGAGAAAUUUGUGCUAAUACCGGAUGAUGACGAAAGUCCAAAGAUUUAUCGCCAAGGGAUGAGCCCGCGUAAGAUUAGGUAGUUGGUGGGGUAAAGGCCUACCAAGCCGACGAUCUUUAGCUGGUCUGAGAGGAUGAUCAGCCACACUGGGACUGAGACACGGCCCAGACUCCUACGGGAGGCAGCAGUGGGGAAUAUUGGACAAUGGGCGAAAGCCUGAUCCAGCAAUGCCGCGUGAGUGAUGAAGGCCCUCGGGUCGUAAAGCUCUUUUACCAGGGAUGAUAAUGACAGUACCUGGAGAAUAAGCUCCGGCUAACUCCGUGCCAGCAGCCGCCGCCGUAA